rnacentral:lncRNA from 1 species
UUUAGUUGGUGUUGCCUUGAAAGGAAGGCAAAUGUGAGCAGGAAGAUGAGGCGGGAGGCGUCCUAUGUAGAGUUCCUUCUUGUUGCGAAUUGGAAGCUCGUCGGUGAGAAUCCCUCAUUUUUGGUCAUGAUAUUGUAGAUCCGGACUUCUCUUCAUCCAUCUCCAACCACUAGCAUGAUUUAGGUUUGUGUCUUGCUUUACUUGUUGAUGCAUAAUUACAUAUUGUACUUUAUUUUCCCAUGGUAGGUUCGGCUAAGAUUGUCGGUUGUGCUUAUAUACAGAAAAGGAUCCAAGGAUUCACAGAAGUUGAUGCGAUCUCAAAUGAAUUUAGAGUUUCAAAGUUUGAGAUUCUAGGAUGGAAAAAGAUAUAGUGAGUGAAGUUAACCACUCAGUCCAAUCUGGUGCUACAUUUAUAUUUGACUAUGGUUUGUUCUACUGGAAUUAGAGACUGAGCAUGAACCUAUCAGAUUUGAUUUUCGUUUUCAAGAGAAGGAGAUGUUAUCUAUGACAUAUUUGUUGGUAUUGGCUGAAUUUCUACCGCAGUUAUACAAAAAGUAUCUGUUGUAUAUGCAAAUGAACAAACACUGUUUAUUAUCCAAGGACAAAUGCAAAAAUCGAAUGUGUGCAAGUGUUGUUUUGGAUUAUAUGCACAUGUUCAUAUCUGAUUUCGCAUAGGAUUUGAGAACACUAUAUGUAAAAGACGACACAUUUUCCUUCAGAAAGAAAUGGGUAGAUUUUGCAUUUAAAGUUUGUGAAUCGUUAUGGAGGGCGCUCAAUAUGUGUUAUAGAAGAUGCUGAUACGAUGACUCUCACACAGUUG